AUGUCCCAAGACCUUUGGAGUGAACUGUUGUCCGUGUGGCCCCACGUAUGGACACCCCAGCCCAUUAUUGCAAGGAACAACUGGAAGCUCUUUUCCUGUGAAUCCACUCCAGUGUUUAUCCGUCAAACGUGCCUUCAGGUGUGUGUAACCUGCAUUUUGGGCAGAGUUCAGGAGACAUCAAUAGUUACAGGGAGGCCCUCAAAGUCAACAGCACCAAGAGCUGGUGGGACAAACACAAGAGUGCAUUGUAAACUCCGUCCUGGGACCAACAUCAGUCCCCCCAGCAGAUCCAGAGAUUUUUCCCAAUUCACUUCUACGUGAUGAUGUGCUGCAAUCCUUUUUUGACAAAUAAAAUGUGUUUUAAUUGUGAAAAGAAAGGGCUUGUGUAUAAUGGAUAAGAAUUUGAUA
rnacentral:lncRNA from 1 species